rnacentral:rRNA from 1 species
UACAGAGGUCCCAAGCGUUGUUCGGAUUCACUGGGCGUAAAGGGUGCGUAGGUGGCUUGGUAAGUUUGAUGUGAAAUCUCCGGGCUUAACCCGGAAAUGGCAUUGAAUACUAUUGAGCUGGAGGUUUGGAGGGGGGACUGGAAUUCUCGGUGUAGCAGUGAAAUGCGUAGAUAUCAAGUGGAACACCAGUGGCGAAGGCGAGUCCCUGGACAAUUCCUGACGCUGAGGCACGAAAGCGUGGGGAGCAAACAGG